rnacentral:rRNA from 1 species
AUUGAACGCUGGCGGCAGGCCUAACACAUGCAAGUCGAACGAGUGGCGGACGGGUGAGUAAUGUCUGGGAAACUGCCUGAUGGAGGGGGAUAACUACUGGAAACGGUAGCUAAUACCGCAUACCAUCAGAUGUGCCCAGAUGGGAUUAGCUAGUAGGUGGGGUAACGGCUCACCAAGGCGACGAUCCCUAGCUGGUCUGAGAGGAUGACCAGCCACACUGGAACUGAGGCACGGUACAGACUCCUACGGGAGGCAGCAGUGGGGAAGAUUGCACAAUGGGCGCAAGCCUGAGACAGCCAUGCCGCGUGUAUGAAGAAGGCCUUCGGGUUGUAAAGUACUUUCAGCGGGGAGGCGUUACCCGCAGAAGAAGCACCUGCUAACCCCGGGCCAGCAGCCGCGGUAAUAC